GACGGUUGCGGUUCGGUCACAUAUUUUAGGCUUAUGAUAAUAUAAAGGUCUGUUGACUGAAAACGAAUUCAUAACGUAAUCGAAUUAUCUGCUGUUUAAUAUGAAUACUACACGCAGUAAUAGCGCUAGCUCAUUAUCAUCAGAUGACGUCGAUAGUAGCAAUACCAUAUUUGAAGAUCACCAUAAAAAAAUGCAACUAUAAAAUAGUGAAAUGUAGGGUUGAAAGAACCGAGGUUUGGAUACAUUUCCGCUUUUGCAAAUGCUUCAUGAAGACAAAUAGAGAAAAUGAAUUGGCAGAAAAGAAAUAUGAUCAACAGGAUGGAGUUGAACAUCACUUUCAUGCGUCUUGUAGAUGGAGUCGUCGCAAGUCGAGAAGUUACAGUGGCACCGUGUACCGAUUGCAACGUUAUUGCGUAUGCAAGGCCUCUGCGCAUCCUUCUACUAACGGACACAUGAACAAUGUAUCCAAUAAUGAAAAUUCAAGCUGCGCCCUCUCGUAAACGGUUGGAGAUAUAACCCUUGGGACCAGUGUAUAUUUUACUACUUGUUCAACAGCAGUGUACGUAUAUUCUGCUGUUAAUAAUAACUGUUAGAUGUGAUUAACUUUCUCAUUGUACGCAUAUUUCUCCAAACAUUAUGCAUUGACGAUAUUGAAAGACUAUUAACAAAAAUGAAAAUUAUAUACAAAUGCGCUUGACGGAAUAUGCCGUAUUGUAACACAAUGCCUUUCUGAAAUAAUGCGUUUACUAAUCAUUUAUUUUAUGUGCCAAACAAAAUGUACGCGUUUUAUUUCGCAUUUUGAUCUGUUCACUUAAUUCCGAUUAUGUGUGAUUUUUGUCUGAAUAAGUGUAUGAAGAGUGCUCGUGAUUUAUUCACUGUGUUUUUUGAAUAAGUGUUUGAAGAGUGCCUGUGAUUUAUUCACUAUGUUUAAUGCGUGUUCAUUAAUUCAUAGACUGCGAAAAUAAACAUAAAUUUAGUUUUGUCUACUAUUUGAGCGUAUCAUACAGUCUCUUUUCCAAUCUAAUAACAUUUGUAAUUUGCAACUACAUUUUGUAAUUAAUUAUUUGUUGAUUAAAGAUUAAGUACAUACAAUAACGUAUGCUCUUUGUUAUUAAAGAACUUUGUAAUUUUUCAAUACAUAUCAAUUAAUAUAUUUUGAUACAAAACACGUGUGUUUGUUCUAAAAAAUAUUUUCCCAUCAUGUAACAACCGUUUGCAUUGAAAUUCACAGUGCAUGUUUUAUUAAAAUACAUACAUUAUUUGUAUGAAUCAAUU